GAAGGAUGUCAACCAACUCCUACUCAUCUUUCAAUAAGAAAGGAAAAGGCUUAACACCCGCUUCCUAGGUGUCCUCCAUCAUGUCAGAAAGCCCCAAGAGCCCUCAAAGAUCACAAAGAAAAAUUUGCCCUUCCAACCAUGAAUGGAUGAAGGACCCAGAGGAAGGAUAUUGUAACAUUUUUUACAAAAAAUGCACCACCGCCCUUCAUUUUGAGGGCGAUCCUUCACUUGGAAAAAAUCUUAGAACAUCUUCGUAGUAGGGAUGACUCUUUGGAGCCGAACAAAGCAAAAGAAACUAACAAUCAUCCUCUAGUUAUUGGGGACUAGUUAAGGCAGGGCGAGUUGGUAUUAGGCCAACAACUUAGCAAUAAUCAUCGAUAUU
rnacentral:lncRNA from 1 species